rnacentral:rRNA from 1 species
GACGAACGCUGGCGGCGUGCCUAAUACAUGCAAGUAGGACGCAGUUGCGAACGGGUGAGUAACGCGUAGGUAACUGCCUAUUAGAGGGGGAUAACUAUUGGAAACGAUAGCUAAUACCGCAUACUAGUAGAUGGAUCUGCGUUGUAUUAGCUAGUAGGUAGGGUAAUGGCCUACCUAGGCGACGGUACAUAGCCGGCCUGGGAGGGUGAUCGGCCAAACUGGGACUGAGACACGGCCCAGACUCCCACGGGAGGCAGCAGGAGGGAAUCUUCGGCAAUGGGGGGAACCCUGGCCGAGCAACGCCGCGGGAGUGAAGAAAGUUUUCGGAUCGUAAAGCUCUGUUGUUAAGGAAGCGGUACUUAACCAGAAAGGGACGGCUAACUACGUGCCAGCAGCCGCGGUAAUAC